GCCAGGCGUGGUGGCUCACGCCUGUAAUCCCAGCACUUUGGGAGGCUGAGACAGGCGGAUUACCUUAGGUCAGGAGUUCGAGACCAGCCUGGCCAACAUGGUGAAAGUCUGUCUCUA
rfam:Nomascus leucogenys chromosome 5, whole genome shotgun sequence.